AAAGGGAUAAUCAAAGAAGAAAAAAAAUAUAAAAUAAAAAUAGAAAAUAAAAUAGAAAGUUGUGGGUUGUCUUCCACGAAGCGCUUUGUUUAAUGUCGCAAGCUCGACAGAAGCCAGUAAUGGUUAUUAAAGAAAAAUACGGAUUAAGAAAAAGAGAAAAAUUGACAUUAAUAAAACAGGAAAUAUUCGCUAUGUUUUACGUCGAUAGUGCGGCGACUCAGGAGUGUAAGUACUCAUGGUGGUUCCUUCGAGGAUGAAUCCUCGGUCAAACUUUUAAUUAUCCUUGAUUUCCAUGGCCACUUAUCAAUC
rnacentral:lncRNA from 1 species